CGCUCAGAUAGAGGCGCGGCGUUCAUCAGUACCGCUCCGGCAAGGCCAGGCAGCCGCCGGACGGGGAAGGGUCCGCCGCCGAAGUGCCGGGACGAUGCCUGUCCUUCUGGUGCUGGGCCGUCAGGGAAUACCUGCCGGACUGUCACAAACCUUUGUGAAGCGCUAUCAAUGGC
rfam:Oscillibacter sp. KLE 1745 genomic scaffold Scaffold309, whole genome shotgun sequence.